rnacentral:piRNA from 1 species
GGGACUUGUAUCUUUAAUUGCCUGGGCUUG